UUAGUACUAGUAAUUAAGUGAAGUUGAGGCAAGAGAACGAAUUAAAAAUAGAUGCAGAAUUGAAGAGAGAAAUAAUAAGCAAGGAGAAAUAAUUGUACUACUUACUUUUAGUCCCACAUUGACUGCCUAAUUUCAUUGUUUAGUGUUUAUAUACCAUAGUUAAGAGAACCACUAUCGUCCCUUCGGGGACAUCCGAUAAAAUUGGAACGAUACAGAGAAGAUUAGCAUGGCCCCUGCGCAAGGAUGACACGCACAAAUCGAGAAAUGGUCCAAAUUUUUUUGAGAUUUUUUUCCCUGUCUCGUCUUCUUCGCUGCCGUUCAGACAUUGUUGUUAGGGUUUUGCUUUUCUGCAUUUCCUUUUCUCUUUGAUUUUGAGUUUAGGGUUUUGUUUUCUCUUCAAUGCAGGUGGUGUUCGUGACGACGUGACUCCUAUUUCAACCAAGUAUUAGGGUUUUGUUUUCUGAUUUUUUUUUGACUUUUCUCUCCCGUUCAGAUAUUAUUAGGGUUUUGUUUUCUACAUUUCGUUUUCCUUUUUUCUUUGAUUUUGAGUUUCUUUCAAUGCAGGUGGUGUUCAUGACGAGGUGACUCCUACUUCAACCAAGUAUUAUGCAGAGCAAUGAACUGAAGAUAAGUUGCAGGACAGUUAAAUGUUUGUUUUGUCUGUUCGGGCGAAGUUGUUUGACCACAACAGCUCUGAUUAAGGGAAGCUUUGAGUUAUGUUAUUUACUCGAAAUUCAUGUUUAACUGCCAUUUUAUGUGUAGAUUUUGGCUAAACAGAGAACUAGCAAUAGAAGACUUUUCAUAAUUUGGUCAAUAAGUGGUUGUUCAAGCAAGAAACUGUAUGUAAGUAGAUAUCUUCCUUGCACGGAAUUGUAAGACCGCCCAUUGGAUGACAGUAACCGUAUUCCUCUUCAGCUUGGAUAAGCAAUUCUUGAAAUAAAGGCUCGUUCAAGAAUGAUAUUGGAAUCAAGAACCUCCUUGCUUUCUCUCCGACAUACACCGCAAGAUAGCCUUUUGGGACUUCCACUUGUUUGCUAGAUGAUGAUCGUCUAAUACCAGGUUUUGUCUGUUCGGCGAAGUUGUUUGAUUACAACGACUGUGAUUAAGGGAAGCUAAGCCAGAGCCUAGUACUUGGUUUCAACUGAUGGUCCAGCAAAACUUUGAAUUAUGUUUUUUACUUGAAAUUCAUGUUUAACUGCCCUUUUAUGUGUAGAUUUUGGCUUAACCCAGAGAACUAGCAGUAGAAGACUUUUCAUAAUUUGCUCAAUACGUGGUUGUUCAAGCAAGAAACUGUAUGUAAGAAGAUAUCUUCCUUGCACGGAAUUGUAAGCCCGCCCAUUGGAUGACAGUAACCGUAUUCCUCUUCAGCUUGGAUAAGCAAUUCUUGAAAUAAAGGCUCGUUCAAGAAUGAUAUUGGAAUCAAAAACCUCCUUGCUUUAUCUCCAACAUACACCGCAAGAUAGCCUUUUGGGACUUCCACUUGUUUGCCAGAUGAUGGUCGUCUAAUACCAAGUAAGUGAAAACCCAUUCUUGUUUUUGUUUCUUGACAAUAGAAUGAUCUUAAAGAAGUAGUAGAAGACAGAAACGAACUUGAAUUCUGACGCUUCAAGGUAUGAAUGGUUUGUGCUGCUUGUAAACCCAAUGAUGGAUAUAUAUAGAGUUUGAAAACCAAUUGUAUAGUGAAUGAGUUAUUGAAUGGAUGUUAGUGGGAGCUAUGGCUCAUUAAUGAUCACAUGGUACUGUCUUGAAGGCUUUCCUAGAGGACCAUAAAAUGUGAGAUUACAUACCCCACCUUUUGAAAAAGAGACUAGAGAUAACUUACUUAAUAUAAUUCAGACAAGCUCUAAACACAUCAAAUAUCUUGUUCUUGUUUUUGUAAGACAAGUGAUAUCCAACCAAUAAACAAUGCAAUCUUCUUGGAUGCUGCUGCAACGUUGUAUGGACAGACUACUGCCACAUUGUUGAUCUAACCGUAAAAUGUCGCUGAUAUAUCAAUUGGAUAAAUUUAAUCACUGUCGAGUCUUAAGAAAUCACUCAUUUAAUCUUUGAGAAAGACCUCUAGACAGAUUCAUGUGAUCUCUUGUCAACAUUAAGCUGUGUUGUCUAUGUGAAGAGAACAUGUGCCAUGUCUAAUGCAUGUCUGAAAAUAAAUGAGUAGGCAUUUUACAAGCUAGUAUUCAGUUUAACAUAAGCCUUUCAUUCAGAAGAUUGGUUUGAUCUCUAAUAGAACUUAUUGAUCCUUGACAAGAAACUGUUGGAAACUAUAAAAUUAGUGUCCUCCUUCACAACAAUCACAUGUUACUCAAGCAGUCAAACUUAGAUAUACAUUUUUCUUAUGUGACAAGUUCAGCCGGUUCUUCAAAAUAUUUGAAAUUGGUUUCCUUUUACCUUCAACUAUUAGAAAGGCAUCAUUUAGCAGCACCCGGACUUCAUCAAAAGUUACGAAUGUGCCGAAGGGUUAUCUUUCACUGUACGUUGGAGAGCAAAUGAAGCGGUCUGUGAUUCGGAUGUCAUAUUUGAACCAAUGGUCAGCCUCACAAUUCCUUGCACAAGAAGAUGUUUUCUUGCAUAUAACUUCUGGCUACAUUCAAUUUCACAUUCAUUCCACGUUCAAUUUGGAAGAGAAUGACUUCCACAUUCUAUAUAUGCUCGUGUUAUCCGUUUUACAUAUAACAAAUUCAGAGUUCAAGUUCUCACUUUUUCAUCUACUACUUCUUUGAGACCAUUCUACUACUUUGAAAAGAGACAAUGGAAAAAAAGAAAUUGCAGUUCACAUGUUUCUGGGGCUGAAUUGCUGGAUUAGAAAAAAGUCUAUACAGAAGUUAAACCCAUCAAAUAAUAGAAUUCAGAUUUACCACUUAACCCAAUUAUGGAAUGUCUAUCUACGAUGACAAUUAGUUGACGGAUUUUGAGGAUAUUUCUAAUCAGUUGGUUUUUCAUUUUGAGGGGAUGGUGCUAAUACUAUUCAAGUUCACAUGUUUCUGAGGCUGAAUUGCAGGACUAAAAGGAGUCUGUACUGAAGUUAACCACAUCAAAUGUUUCUAACCCAAUUGGUUUUACAUUUUACAUUUUGAGGAAAUUUCCAAUACUGAUAAUAAUUGCUUGGAUACUAGUUUGAUUGAGGAAAUCAUUCCUAGCUUUGUUGAUGGAUAGAACAAUAAUAUGCUUAAUAUUUUCAAUGAAAAGGAGGUGAGGUGUUGAACAUAGUAGGGAGAUUGGUGUAACUAACUAGUACAUAGAAUAGAUUAACUGAAUCCUAACUAACCUUUAGUUAGUUAUCAAUUGGCUAGAUAGAGGUUCAAGUUAGUUACAAGUUACUUGCUCUAUAAGUUAUCAUAUUCAGGUGUAUGCAUGGAUGAUGAUGAGUAGUGAAAAAUUCUGCAACAUAUCUUUCUUCUUCGAUCUUUCUUUCUGCACUUUUACAUUUUUAGCUUGAUUCUUAACAUGGUAUCAUCGACCCCUGAUCAAGUCUCCACUGUUGCACUCACUUAACUCAUCUCUUCCAUCUUGGUUUUCUCUCAGUUUUCUGCAUUGUUCCAAUUGUGUUUUUCUGUGUUAACCAUGCCAGUUGCAAGCUCUGCAAGCAGCCUCAAUGGCAGAACUCCAUCACAUGCCAAUAACAAAGGUUAUCAAACCGAUACCCUCAAUCCCUAUUUCAUGCAUCCCAAUGAAAAUCCUGCUUUGGUUCUGUUUCCCCUUUGCUUUCAAACAAUAAUUAUCAUUCUUGGGCAAGAUCCAUGGCAAUUGCUCUAAGAUCCAAGAACAAACUUCAUUUUAUCAAUGACAGCUUACCUUGACCACUGGAUGAAGAUCACAAUUCCCUUGCUUGGGAUCGAUGCAACACUAUGACCAUGUCAUGGAUUCACAAUUUUUGAAUCAGAUAUUGCUCAAAGUGUAUUAUGGAUGGAUACUGCAGUUGAAAUUUGGAACGAACUGAGAGACCGUUUUAACCAAGGUGGUGUAUUCAGAAUAUCAAAUCUUCAAGAUGAAAUAUGCAACUUGAAACAAGGUGAUUCAUUUAUUUCUUCUUAUUACACAAAGCUUAAGAAAUUGUGGUAAGAAUUGAACAAUUUUCGUCCAAUUCCCGACUGUUCAUGUGAUGCUACUUGCCAAGCUAUCACCAAGAUUCGUGCAUACAAAGAUGGUGAUCAAGUUAUCAGAUUCCUCAAAAGUCUGAAUGAUCAAUAUUCAGCUGUGAGGUCCCAAAUCAUGCUAAUGGAACCACAUCUAACCAUCUGCAGAGUUUACUCUCUCCUUGUUCAACAUGAAAGACAAGCUAUCUUACCUAUUGAUGAAUCAAAGGUAUUAUCUUUUCCUAAUCUCAGUCAACCUCAAAACCAUACCUCCAAAUCCAAUAUCAAUUCUUGUGGUAGAGGCAUUAGAGGUGAUCGAUCAUUUGGUGGAAGAGGCCGAGGUUCACGAAUUUGCACUCAUUGUGGCAUGGCCAACCACACAGUUGAUUCUUGCUUCAAAAAUCAUGGUUUUCCCCACAUUGGAAGCAAGAUGGCACAAUCAACCGUUAUGCAACUAUUACUGACAAAGUAGAGGAAUCUCAAAUUGAUUUCAAUGGAGUAAAUGAGCAAGUUCAAGGUAACUUGAUUUUCACACCAGUCUAGCAUAAAGCAUUGCUGGCUCUCCUUCAGGGAUCCUCAUCUUCCCAGGCUCACAACAUCAUCAUCUGGCAACUCAACUUGAAAGUGACUCAGGAUACUCACUCCAAGAAGAUGAAUGGCACAACUAGAUUAAAUGGUGGAUUGUAUAUCUUAGAUUCUCCCUCAGUUACCUUGUAUCACACUCUAUCAACUCACUUUAUUGAUACCUUACAUAAUCACUCUUUAGACACAUCAUAAAAUUGUAAUCUUUGGCACUUAAGGCUUGGCCACCCCUCAGAUACCAAUUUAAUUUAAUUAAAUAAAUGUUUUCCUUUUGUCAAAUCUGUGAAUUCUGCUAUUCCUUGUGAUGUAUGUUUCUAUGGUAAGCCAAAAAGACUUCCAUUUUCCCUUAGUUCUCAUAUUUCUACUUUUGUUUUUGAUUUAGUGCAUAUGGAUAUUUGGUGCCCCUUAUCCACACCAUCUAUGAUGGGAUAUAGACACUUUCUAGUUGUUGUGCAUGAUAAAAGUAGGUUCCCUUGGUUAUUUCUCAUGAGAUUGAUAUCUGAAGCACCGUCCAUCAUGAAAUCAUUUGAUUCAAGUCACUCUUUACUUAAAGUAUAUUUAUAAUUUAAGAGAGGAUAUUGAAUGUAGGGAGAUUUUGAUAAUCUUUUGAUUAACAAAUACAUAAUAUAAACUUUUAUGUAUAGUGGAAGGGCUGCUAGGAACUUAGACUAAAGGGUUGCCACUAAUUGAAUGCUUUCUGACAACAGCUUCAACGAUAAGUCCAUGUGAAGGGCACGAGAAUUCCUUGUGAUUGUGGAUUCCAUCACCUUCUUCAAACAUCACAAAAAAAUGCAACAUACAAAUACAAUUUAAUCGGUGACUAAGACGUUGUUUUGAGUUUUGUUGACUCAUGUAUGGCCUUGUAAUACAUACCAUACCAGGUUGUUCAAGCAAGAAGCUGUAUGUAAGAAGAUAUCUUCCUUGCACGGAAUUGUAAGACCGCCCAUUGGAUGACAGUAACCGUAUUCCUCUUCAGCUUGGAUAAGCAAUUCUUGAAAUAAAGGCUCGUUCAAGAAUGAUAUUGGAAUCAAGAACCUCCUUGCUUUCUCUCCAACAUAUACCGCAAGAUAGCCUUUUGAGACUUCCACUUGUUUGCUAGAUGAUGAUCGUCUAAUACCAGGGGCACCUAGACAACACCAUGUGAUCUUUCAUCUCAUGCCCCGCAUCAUUUUAAAAAUCAUUUCUCUACCAAAGGGAUUUCAAGAAACUGUUGGAAACUAUAAAUAUAGUGUCCUCCUUCACAACAAUCACAAAUCACUCAAGUAGUCAAACUUAGAUACAUUGUUCUUAUGUGACAAGUUCAGCUGGAUCUUCAAAAUAUUUGAAAUGGGUUUCCCUUUACCUUCAACUAUUAGAAAGGCAUCAUUUAGCAGCACCCGGACUUCAUCAAAAGUUACGAAUGUGCCGAAGGGUUAUCUUUCACUGUAUGUUGGAGAGCAGAUGAAGCGGUUUGUGAUUCAUAUUUGAACCAAUUUUCAUCUAAUGGUCAGCCUCAUAAUUCCUUGCACAAGAUGUUUUCUUGCAUAUAACUUCUGGCUACAUUCAAUUUGGAAGAGAAUGACUUCCACAUUCUAUAUAUGCUCGUUAUCAGUUUCAAAUAUAACAAAUUCAGAAUUCAAGUUAUCACUUUUUCAUCUACUACUUCUUUGAGACCAUUCUACUACUUUGAAAAGAUACAAUGGAAUAAAAAGAAAUUGCAGUUCACAUGUUUUUGGGGCUGAAUUUCAGGACUAAAAAGAGAGUCUGUACAGAAGUUAAGCCCACCUAAUGUUUCUAACCACUUGGUUUUACAUUUUGAGGAAAUUUUCAAUACUAAUAAUUUCUUGGAUAAUAGUUUGAUUGAGGAAACCAUUCCUAGCUUUGUUGAUGGACAGAACAAUAAUAUGCUUUCUAGUAUUUCCAAUGAAGAGGAGGCGAGGUAUAUCAUUUUUGCCAUGAACACUGAUGGAGCUCCAAGUUCAUAUGGGUUUGGUGCUUAUUGAAGGAAGGAAUGUCACCAAUGGCAUUUGUCUUGCUUUUGAGGCUGUUGAUAUGCUUUAACCUAGAUCUUUUGGAGGAAAUAUUUUCAUAAAAGUUGACAUUAUUGAUCAGGAAUUCUUAAUUGAAGUUUUGCAAUUUUUUGGAUUUUGCUCCAAAUUCUAUAACUGGAUUAAAGUGAUCCUUAAAUAAAGCUGCAUGUUUCUUUUCU